UACGUAGGGGCUAGACGUUGUCCGGAUUAUUGGGCGUAAAGAGCUCGUAGGCGGUUUGUCGCGUCGGGAGUGAAAACUCAGGGCUCAACCCUGAGCGUGCUUCCGAUACGGGCAGACUAGAGGUAUGCAGGGGAGAACGGAAUUCCUGGUGUAGCGGUGGAAUGCGCAGAUAUCAGGAGGAACACCGGUGGCGAAGGCGGUUCUCUGGGCAUUACCUGACGCUGAGGAGCGAAAGCAUGGGGAGCGAACAGG
rnacentral:rRNA from 1 species